UUUUUCUUUUUCUUUUCUUUUUUUGUCUUUUUAGGGCCGCACCCGUGGCAUAUGGAAGUUCCCAGGUUAGGGGUCAGAUCAGAGCUGUAGCUGCUGGCCUACGCCAGAGCCACAGCAACGCCAGGUCUGAUCUGUACCAACACCACAGCUCAAGGCAAUGCCAGAUUCUUAACGCACUGAUCAAGGCCAGGGAUCAAACCCACAUUCUCAUGGAUACUAGUUGGGUUCAUUACGUCUAAGCCACGAUAGAAACUCUUUAGUUUGGUUCAUUGUGUAGCAGGUGCUACUGGUACCCCCACUCAACCCCCCAGGCCCAUGUGGAGGUCACCUGCAGACAGUUCCUGAACUGCUCCUUGUGUCUCUCCUGAGACAUUCCCAGCUCUGGAAGUGAGUGUGCGGCAGGCUGGACAUGGAGAAUUAAUACCCCCAGGGUAAUCCUCAAACAAGAAGGGUCCAGAGUGAGUGGAUAAACCCUCUAGCUUUCGGUCCCUCUGAGAGCAGGGCAAUUCCCAGUUUCUAGGCAUGUUCUAGUCUCAGGGACACUCCAGCAGAAUAGAACCUAAGUUGUCCCUGGGGAAAAGCUGCUUAUCCCUGUGUGCUUUGCUGGCUUUCCUCUCUUGCUUGUCUCACUUCUCUACUCCCUCAGCUUGCUUCUGGGAUUACCUCCUAAAUAAACAACUUUAUCCAGAUCUGUCUCAGGGUCAGCUUUUAGGGGAACCCAAAUUGAGACAAUGAACAACAACUCUUGCUAAGUGCUUUUUCAUUUCACCUGUUAAUUUCUGAACAUCCCCUGAAGGAGGUGUCCUUAACCCCAUUUGACAAAUGAAGAACAAAGAGAUGAAUACAAAGGCAAGGAUUCAAACUCACAUCUGUGUAGUUCUAAAACCUGUGUAGCUCCUUAACCACUAUGCUCUGUGGCCUCCCUAAUUGUCUGAUCUUCGCUGGGCCUUAUUUUUUUCACCUAUAAAAUGAGUUUGAAGGGAGGCAAGGUACCCAGUGACUCCUACAGUUAGGCCUGGUCAUUGAGAUGUAAGCAGAAGUUAUUGGGAGAGAAAGUGCUUUAAAGGGACUGAUUCGGGCAUUCCCUUCGUGGCUCAGCGGUUAAUGAACCCGACUAGAAUCCAUGAGGAUGUGGGUUUGAUCCCUGGCCUCGCUCAUUUAAUGCGCCAAUAAAAGAAUUAUCUUCCUGAGGCUUAAUAUGAUCAAAUAACUAGUCUGAGGUCACACGGCUAAGUGACAGAGCUGGAAGUUGCUCCCAUUCCACCAUCCUGCCUCCCAGUACCCUAGCCUUAAAAAAAAAAAACUGCUCAAGGCCACUCCUUCAUGAAGUCUCCCCUGAGUUCCCCCAACCUGAUGUGAGCUUUUCCUCUUGUGGAUGCCAGGGAUGUGGUUUCAACCUCUCCUGGCACACCCUGCCUGUCCAAGAGCCAUCACAGCAAGUGUUCAGGAGACGCAGCGAGGAUGCUUUCAUGCACCAGGCUUUUUGCUGUUUUACAUGCUUCUCAAUUUACUCCUCUCCAAAUUCCUAGCUUUUACCUUCUCAUCAGACCGCAUCUCCUUCCCCAGAGCACAGGAAUNNNNNNNNNNNAGAGAGUUCUUGCACCCUCACCGCCUGGAGCACAGGGCUCUGCACACUUAGUAACUGAGGGCUGUACUUACAGACUCUAAAUGUGGGCCCCUCAGGGGAGGAAGGGCCUGAGAUGCUGAGUUCCAGGGUGAGGUGAGCAGUCCCAAGCAAGCUGCGGCUCUGUUCUGUUUUCACUCUCCUUUUCUGUUUCCAGCCAAAGGACAUUCUCAACAAUCUUGGUGAUGCCAGGAGGCCCAGACGGGAUGGAAAACCAGUAGGCACACUUCUGCUUCUUGUCCUUAUCUCCCCUCUGGCUCUUCAUGCGACUCCAUUUGGAAAUAAACUGCAAAACCUAAUAGAUUUUCCAUGGAAAUGUGGCACAUACCAGGGAACAGUCCAUUCUCCUGGCUGCCUUAGUGAGGCCAAAAUCGGUGCUAGAGAAGGUUCUCUCAGCCACGGUGUCAUCCUGGAGACUUUGAGGGGGUGGGGGUGGGCAGGGUUUCUUUCAUUAUCUGCUCUCCCUCUCAGCAAGUUGGUGUGUCUUGAAUAGCUCCUCCAGGUCACAGCUUUGUUCCCUCCCCGCUUUUCCUUGACACUCUCCAAAGCACUGUUCUCCAGCCAUAUUUUGGUGUUUGGAACUAAUAACUAUGUAUCUGAAAACACUCUUUUUCUGGGUGGCAGUAAGUUGAUUCCAGAACAAUUGUGGUGCUUUUCUGUUUUGGUUUGUUUGUGUUUGAGAGGGCCUAAAAAGCUCCUGGGCCUUGGAUUUUUUUCUUUCUUUUUCUUUUUAGGGCCACACCUGAGGCAUAUGGAGGUUCCCAGGCUAGGGGUCCAGUCGGAGCUACAGCUGCCGGCCUAUGCCACAGCCACAGCCACAUCAGAUCUGAGCCACAUCUAUGACCUAUGCCACACAGCUCACAGCAACACCAGAUCCUUAACCCACUAAGCAAGGCCAGGGAUUGAACCCGCAACCUCACGGUUCCUAAUCAGAUUCAUUUCCACUGUGCCACGAUGGGAACUCCUGAGGCCAGGGAUUGAACCUGCACCUCAGCAGCGACCUGAGCUGCAGCAGUGACAAUGGUGGAUCCUUAACCUAAUGCGCCACAAGGGAAUUUCAGAAUAACUGUGGUUUUAAUACAAAAUCUGCCCGAUUGGUCCCAGACAGGAGAUUUGGGGCCUGGACUGCAGAGGAACCCUUUUAGGAGAGCAUGACAAAUGGGUAUUUCAACAUUUUGUCUCAGGGCCAUGGAAUCAUGGCAGCGUUAGACCCGCCUCCCCACCAAAGCUUGGGGAAGCAGCACACAGACGAAGAGGCUGAGUCAUAUGGACAAAGCUGGCUGUAAGGGAAACACUUUCAGUUGCUUUAGAAAUCAAUUUGUUACCAUCUAAGAUGUUCUCCAGAAAAGUUGUUUUUUGAUUGAUGGCAAAAAACCCCCUUCCAUUUGCAACUUUUUCCUUCUAAGACAAAAACCAGAGGCCAAGAUCCUGACUCUCUCAAGUCUGAAGACUUAAGAUGAAGGAUUAAUAGAGGUGGAAAAAGUUAAAUGAGAGUUUACAUGUGACAUCCUUAAAGAAGCCUUAAAAAAAAAAAAAAAAAAAAAAA
rnacentral:lncRNA from 1 species